GGGUUAGUAGGGUGGUCAUGCCUCUGGUAUGUACUGGUCUCACUGAUUCCUCCUUCCUGAUGAACCUUAAUGCCAUUUAUUUGGUGUUUUGGGGAAUUUGGACUGUUACUUUGAAAAAAUUAGAGUGCUUAAAGCAGGCUAUCGCCUGAAUACAUUAGCAUGGAAUAAUGAAAUAGGACGGCAUGGUUCUAUUUUGUUGGUUUCUAGGAUCACCGUA
rnacentral:rRNA from 1 species